UAGGGAAUCUUCGGCAAUGGACGAAAGUCUGACCGAGCAACGCCGCGUGAGUGAAGAAGGUUUUCGGAUCGUAAAACUCUGUUGGUAGAGAAGAACGUUGGUGAGAGUGGAAAGCUCAUCAAGUGACGGUAACUACCCAGAAAGGGCGGCUAACUACGUGCCCG
rnacentral:rRNA from 1 species